rnacentral:lncRNA from 1 species
CGCCAAUUGUGAAUCCUUAAAGGAAUAAGGGACAUGGUCAUCAUUAUCAAAUAGGAACCGCGAACUGGCCGCCCCCAGGCAGGUGGGGCUUCCAGCGCCGCGGAAGGAGACACAGUGACAAGAGGGCCCCGGCUGCCCGGUUCUCACCAGGGUCUAAAAUGGGUCUGCUGUAAUGUCAGCCAGUGGGGGUCAGAUGCUUCUGCAGCUACUCAGAGGACUGCCCUGGAGAAAGUGCUGCUGAGUAACCAGAUCUGUGUUCUGUGUCUCCUGUUCUGACUACCUAGCAAAUGAUGUGAAGGCGACGGCAGCCGUGGACGUUCUGCCAGAUGAAGGCUCCCUCCUCCCAUAUCUGCUCUGGCUCCCUAUUGCCUGCAGGAGCAUGUUCUUCCUGGGCAUCACCACGACCUGUCAUGUAACCUCCGGGAUCCUCCUGACCCAGGCAGUGCACUGUCAUUCACACACGUUCAAUGUCUCCUGCUUUCCAGCCGCUGCUCCUGUCUUCUCCCCACAAUUCCACCCACCCAGAGCCUCUCUCACGGUCCGAGGAGAGCAGUGCACUCCUCCUUCCAUCUUCAGCACCCCAGACUUGGUCUCCAGUUAGGGGACUGUUUUCAAGGAAGCUGCAAACAAC